UACAGAGGGGGCAAGCGUUGUUCGGAAUUACUGGGCGUAAAGGGCGCGUAGGCGGCCUUCUAAGUCGAACGUGAAAUCCCCGGGCUCAACCCGGGAACUGCGUCCGAGACUGGAAGGCUUGAAUCCGGGAGAGGGAUGUGGAAUUCCAGGUGUAGCGGUGAAAUGCGUAGAUAUCAGGAGGAACACCGGUGGUGUAGACGGCUUUCUGGACCGUAACUGACGCUGAGACACGAAAGCGUGGGUAGCAAACAGG
rnacentral:rRNA from 1 species